rnacentral:lncRNA from 1 species
GGCCAAUCAAGAGCUUGGCGUAUUUUACAAACUGAGAAAGUAGCUCCAGCAGCACCCGAGAGGGUCAGGAGAAAAGCGGAGGAAGCUGGGUAGGCCCUGAGGGGCCUCGGUAAGCCAUCAUGACCACCCGGCAAGCCACGAAGGAUCCCCUCCUCCGGGGUGUAUCUCCUACCCCUAGCAAGAUUCCGGUACGCUCUCAGAAACGCACGCCUUUCCCCACUGUUACAUCGUGCGCCGUGGACCAGGAGAACCAAGAUCCAAGGCAAAAUGUCAUCUCGCCAGGUGCCAUGGCUUGUACCUGUAAUCACAGCUACUCAGGAGGCUGAAGCAGGAGGAUCACUGGAGGCC